UCUUCAGUUCCACGUGCUUUCUCACCGGUCAGAGUGACGAGAGAGUAUGUGAAAUGAAGAGA
rnacentral:pre_miRNA from 1 species